UACGUAGGGUGCGAGCGUUAAUCGGAAUUACUGGGCGUAAAGUGUGCGCAGGCGGUUCGUUGUGUCGGCGGUGAAAGCCCCGGGCUUAACCUGGGAAUGGCCGUUGAAACUGGCGAACUGGAGUGUGGCAGAGGGGGGUGGAAUUCCGCGUGUAGCAGUGAAAUGCGUAGAGAUGCGGAGGAACACCGAUGGCGAAGGCAGCCCCCUGGGCUAACACUGACGCUCAGGCACGAAAGCGUGGGGAGCAAACAGG
rnacentral:rRNA from 1 species